rnacentral:lncRNA from 1 species
AUAAGGCUGGUACGGGGGUGUUAUGGAUGAAUCUGGGUUGGGUUUCUGCAUAAACAUGUAAUAUCUGUUCUGUUCUGUUAUGGGCCUAUGGUCUUUAUUCUGAAUUCUGUUCUGGGCUAAGGCCAACUUAUUCUAUUUCUGUGGUCUGAGCUGAUAUAGGCUAUGGUUGGGUUAAUUUACACACUGAGUUUCCCCAAACUCACCCCUUUUAUUUUCAUCCAUGUAGGUAAUCCCAAACCAUAGUGGGCUUGGAGCUGUGAGGGAAUUCGGAGUGGCCACCCGUUCUGAAAGUUUGAUUUUCUUCUGGUGAACUGGACAUCCUUUUAUUUACGUUUGAAGUUUUGGGUUUUUAAGUUGUAAUAAGGCCGCUUAAUUAUUUUUGAUGGUUUUAAUAUGUAUUACUAAGAUAGGUAUUACUUAUUUUAACUGUUGAAAUUGGAUAGCUUUAGGGCGCGUUCUCAAAAACAACAAUUGAUUUCAAAAUAACACGACAACAAGCAAAGCUUCCGCAAUGAAAGUAUUUUCCAAAAUUAAUCACUUUUCCUAAAAAUGACUUAAUCAAAUCGGUUUCCUAGAAAUAUCCAUGACGUUAAGGUGUGGUAAUGGCG